CACGGUUUCAAAUUUCAAAAAUUUUCUUGGGAUUAUCCCUCUAAUAAGUAAUGAUAAAUUACAGUUAAUAUUCUUUUUUACUUUUUGUGCAUUUUUCCAUCUUUUAUUUUAAAUACAACUAUAGUUAGCAUAAAUUUUAGAGCAAAUUUGGAUGCUCAGAAUGCAGGAAAUGGCAUUAAUUCCGUGGUUCAAAUUUCAAAAAUUUUCUGGGGGAGUACACCCCCAUACACCUGACCAUUGCUAUCCUCUAAUAAGUAAUCAUAAAUGAUGGUUAAUUUUUUUUUACUUUUUGUGCGUUUCUUCCUUUAUUUAUUUCAAAUACAAGUAUAGUUAGGAUAAAUUUUGGAGCAAAUUUGGAUGCUCAGAAUGCAGGAAAUGACAUUUCCGGGAGUCAAAUUUCAAAAAUUUUCUGGGGAGUACACCCCCAGACCACCCCCCAUUCAAGCGUGGUAUAUUUGUCACACACGUGGCUUUCAGUCAUCGUUAUCCCCC
rnacentral:lncRNA from 1 species